CCCACGCCACAGAUUACACGAGUAUAUGGACGGAGACGACGUAGGAUGGCCCAGCCUGUCACGCUUUGGUUGGGAGACUAAGCCCAUUGGGCCUAUCUCAUUGUUGUUUUUAUUUAUUUAGCCCAUUUGGGCCGGCUCAUUGUAAUUUUAUUUAUUUAGCCCAUUUGGGCUUGCUCAUUGUUAUUUUUAUUAUUUAUGUUAAACAGUUUGGUUUGAUGGGCCGAGCCCAAUAGCAGGAUGUUCUAAGUUGAGACUAUUUAUAUGCUCUUUUGUCAUUUGGGAAGACACUUUUGAAUGAAUGAAAAAAUGCAGAUUUGCACAUCUC
rnacentral:lncRNA from 1 species